UAAAAAGUCAAAUGGUGGAUAAACUGUUUAAAUUAAAUGGGGAACCUUCCUCAAAGGCUAAAUAUAAUGUAUAAGCGAUAGUGGAAAGUACCGUGAGGGAACCAAAACAAAAACAGUGAUUUUAUAAGCAGUUCGGGAAAAAUAAAAAAAAAGUUAGAACGUACCUUUUGCAUAAUGGGUCACCAAGUUAACAUUAGAUGCGAGUAGGAGGCUUUGGCCAUACAUACGUAGUUAAACCGAGCGUUAAAAUAACGGUAAGUAUCUAAAGUUAGACCCGAAGCCUGGUGAUUUUACCAUAAUCAGGAUUAUAAAAGUCCGAACGGAAUAUUGUAGCAUAAAUAUCCGAAGAAUUAUGGUAGGUGUAGUGAAAGACAAUACUGACCAGGAUAGCUGGUUUUCUGCGAAACCUAUAACAGUAGGCAAUUUAAGUAUAAUAUCUUAGCAGGUACAGAAUUUAAUCUCAGACAAGACAUAAGGCUUAGCUUGCUAGCAAGUAAAGCUCAUGUUUUAUUUUGUACAAAUUGGGGGAUCAUGAAGAUUUUAUCAGUGAGUAUGUAGACUCGGAAUGGCAAAGAUAUAUCUUAAAUCAUCAGACAUAGAAUGAUAAGGUUGUAUGUCAAAAGGGAAACAGCCCAGAACAAGAGUUAAGGUUCCUAAAUUAUUAGUUGAGUGAAAUUAAGAAGGUUUUUAUUAAAGUCGACAAGGAGAUAGGCUUAGAAGCAGCCAUAAUUUUAUGACCUCGUAACAGAGCGCUUGUUAAGUUUUAAAAGCAUCGAAAAUUUAUCGGAUCUAAACAAUAUACCGAAACCUUGUCCAUAUUAUUUUAUAAUUAAAUCUUAAUUAUAAUUAAAUGGGGUAGCAGAACGUUGAGCUAAAUUAAGAUUUUUAUUUUUUAAAUGAAAUUAUAAUAAUUUAACUCAAGUGAUAAUGGUGACAUGAGUAACUAAAAGAAAAAAUAAAAUUUUUCCGCCUAAAGCUUAUGGAUGUAAUUAAGUAACGGCCUCUAAGUUUAUAUUAUCUAAAGAUUUAAACGAUGAGAUAAUCUUUUGUACUAAGGACGACAUUUUAAGUGAAAAAUGUACUGGAAAAAUAGUACUAAAUUAAUGGGUAUAGCUAAUUAGUUAGCUAUAGCUAUAAAUGAAAAGUAACCGUACCUAGAAUCUGAAACAAGUAAGCUAGUAGAGAAUACGAAGGCGUAAAUGAGCUAACAAUCAUAAAGGAACUCGGCAAAUUGACUACCGUAACUUCGGGAUAAGGAGAGCUCAUUAUUCUUGAUUAAUAUCAGGUAAAGAGGAAGAAGCAUGAAAUAGUGUUGUACGACUGUUUAAUUAAAACACAGCACUUUGCUGAAAGAUUAAAAAUCUAAGUAUAGAGUGUGAUGUCUGCCCGGUGCCGGCUGGUUAACAGAUAUAAUUAAAUAUACUAAUAUUUGAUGUAGACGGAAACCCCGGUUAAAGGCGGCCUUAACGUGAGGGUCCUAAGGUAGCGAAAUGCCUUGGCCGUUAAAUGCGGUCUUGCAUGAAUGAUGUAACGAUACAACAGCUGUCUCUAUGAUUGACUCAGUGAAAUUGGAAUAGCUGUGCAGAUACAGUUUACCUCUAGUUAGACGAGAAGACCCUAUGCAGCUUUACUGUCACUAAUUAUAGAGUAUGAUAAACAAUUUUCAGAUUAUAAGGUAAUUGACGGCUAGCUUGUUCAGCAAGCUAGCUCUAUGACAAUGAGAAUCCUUUAUUUUUUUUUCAUAUGAAUGAAUUGGUUUAGGAUUAUGAGUAGGUAGCGGCUUCUGCUACUUGGCGCAAGCAUUGCUUGCGUCAGGUGUCUGAAGUAUGCAUUCCAGCUCAUGCAUAGUAAAUCAACCUAAUUCAGCUUAUUUUCCUUUCUGCCAUAAGCGCAUAAUGAUAGAUUUAACUUAAAUUUUGAUUUAUGCCAGCUGCAGAAAUAGAUAAGUACCCUUGGCUAAGGAACUAUCGCUAGGGGACAGUUUAUGUGGGGCACAGACCCUGUAAAGAGUAAACAGGAGUGUCUAAUAAUUUAUAAUUAUUUUGUUUGCGAUUUAAGAUAGUAAAACUAUUUUUAAUCAUAUAAAAUUAUUUAUAUGUACAUUCGUUGUAUAUAUAUUUAAAAAAAGGUAGGAUUUUCACUAUAUAGAAAUUAGAGAUAAUAAAAAUAUUAAGAAUAUACGUUUCAGGCUGGGAGGGGGAAGCUCCUCCCUUUGAAAGGUAGCACUAAUAUUUUUUAGCUAUUAAGACAGGCUAUCAAGCUAGGCUCUAAUAGUUAUGUAUUAAUUAUCUAAAAAGCUCAACGGCUAAAUCUUGCCUUACUGUUUGAUUAUCAACAAAUCU
rnacentral:rRNA from 1 species